rnacentral:rRNA from 1 species
UACGUAGGGUGCAAGCGUUAAUCGGAAUUACUGGGCGUAAAGCGUGCGCAGGCGGUUUUGUAAGUUUGUCGUGAAAUCCCCGGGCUCAACCUGGGAAUGGCGAUGAAGACUGCAAGGCUAGAAUCUGGCAGAGGGGGGUAGAAUUCCACGUGUAGCAGUGAAAUGCGUAGAGAUGUGGAGGAACACCGAUGGCGAAGGGCAGCCCCCUGGGUCAAGAUUGACGCUCAUGCACGAA